AUUGAAUUUCUCAAAGGCAGACAGCAGUAGCAGCAGUAGGCUCAAUGGCUUUUGCUGCAAGACGUUGACUAGUUUAGGACUGAGCUUUCAUUUAACUGCUUGCCAUUUCAUUUUAUUAAGUGCAAAUUGUGCCUUAAUAGAUUUACAGUUGUCAUAAACUUUGGCAUCAUGAAAGCUGUCAGAGUGGCCAGUUGCACAGCAUAUUACUCAUAUGAUGCUAGGAAAGGGUGAACUGGACAAGCCAGGCACCAAUGAGGUAUUAGAGUGGAGGUGGAAGACUCCAGAAGUGUACCUGCAAAUGAAAACUAGCUUCUUUUUCCUUGUCAGUGGCAAACUUUGUAAAUGAACUCUGCUAAACCAUGGGCACCCGAGUCCAAAGACACAGGGCAAAUAUCUGCAGCCCCUCUGUGUGUUGUUAAAGAGUUGGCUUGUUUACUCCAGGCAGUAUACCUGGAGAGCUGCAUUACUCCUCACCUGGAUAUUUAUGAAAAGAUCUUGAGGUCUUCAGGGAAGUUUGAUGCUAGAAGAAAGCAAGACUGAUGUAACUCUACUCUGUUGCACAUCCUAAGCAAAGAACUCUCUCAUGUAGGAGUAUGUGAGGGAAAAAAAAGAGCUGGUGUCCUACACAAGUAUGCAUUGCACAUAUUACACAUGAGUAUUUCAGAUCUGCAAAGUUGUACUUCAGA